GACUCCUACUCUUCCUCUUCGUGGGCGCUGCGCUUGACGCCGUGACCAAUCACAGGCCACGUCGCGUCGCUGCAGCCAAUCGGAAGAGCCUAGAACAUUAAGACGAGCAUUUGACGGCUCCUCCUCUCUGUUCCAGGGUGCUUAGUGGAUUUAGUUGUUUAUGGUCUAGUUUUGCUACUGUUUCAACACGCUCCGGUUACAUCCGGUGCCAUCGUGGUUCUUGUGAGGCAAGGCCUGAGAAUGCGAAGCAGGGAGUUCCCUGAUGUGGCGAUAUUAUAGGAGCUGUUGGGAUGGUUGGCCUUAGAUAUGUGACCCCGGAGGAGCAUGAAUAAGAGUGUUAAUACGGGGAUACGUCGUUUUUUAAUUCAACGAACCUUUUCUACAAGACCGUUUGUCACUGUGGGGCAAUUAAGGAAACAAGGCGAGGGUGAUUCCAACAUUUCCAAGCCAGAUUGCGUCUUUUUCCCCUUGUUGUUUUCUUAGUCCAGAUUCCAGCCAAAAGGAAUUACAUUCUUGGAGAUGUUGGAAAAAGAUUCCUGGGACUUCAAAGAUAAUCACUCCAAAUAUACAGGGGAGUGGGAGGAGGGCAAAGCAGAGAGACAUCAUCUUCUGGGCUCUCACUUGGCAAGCCUUGGUUUCUUGAUGGCUGUUGGCUGAAGACUUCAAUGCUUCACCAUGAGAACCUCUCCAUAGGCUGCCUGAGAACUCUCACAACAUGACAGCUGUCUUUCCCCAGAGGGAAUAAUCCAAGAGAGAAAUGCCAAGUUAACAUGAUGGAAUAAAGGUAUAAAUACACAGCAGCAGCUUUAGAGCAAUUUGUCUUUUUCCUCAAAAGCUUGAUAUUUAUCCAGUUUGGAAUGAAAUUGAAGGGUGUUUUUGUCAGAUUUAUCUGAUAAAGAAUUUGAACAUUUAUAUAGUAAGAUACAGGUGGUCCUUACUUUGCACCGUUCCAUUAUACAUGAAGAUCAGUUUUCACAGUUUAGUUAAAUAACACCAAUCCUCCUACAACACAGUUGUAAUUUCAGUUACAAUAGUACCUGAAUUGUUGCAUAAGUUUUGUUGCUAGCUCUUUAUUCCACAACUGAUUAUGCAUUAUAAAAGAUGUGCAUCAUGGUCAGUAACCAGUUACAUCACAUCUUUCAAAGUCUCUUGGUGAUUGAUCACUAAACAUCUAUUAGUUCACGGAGUAAAGCAUGUAGUUGUAUUGCUUACUUGUUUCCCAGUAAUAAACCCAUGCAACAUUGUACAAUACUGGAUAAUCAGAAGAGGGAAUUGGCAGGGCAGCAAAGAAACAAGUGAUUUUUAACACUGGAAGUGAAAUUGGAUUUGAAAAUGGCGACAGCAUAGUGAAGACGAGACGAGACCCAGGCCUACAUAAAGCUGCAGUAGAAACUGUGGUUUAAAAGUUCGAGGAAUAUAAAAAGCAAAGUAAAGUUGCUUCAACAUUUUUUAGUUUAAAUUACACUAGGAACAGAAAGCCACUUACAGUUGAAAUGGAGUGCUUGCUUCUACUUUGGAUGGAGGACUGUAAUAAAAAAUCCUAAUCAGUUUGGCUAGCAUUCAGGCCAGAGUGUUGAGGUUAGUUGCUGCGCUGAAGGAAAAUGGUAAUUACCAGGAGACUAAAAAAGAACUUUUUUUUGCUGGGAAAGGCUGGUUUCAUCGUUCAGAAGUCUGGCGCGCCUGUGUGUCUCAGUCGGUUAAGGUUAAGCAUCGUUUGGAGGUCGGCAUGAAUGGAAUAAUGUUCCACUGGUGAAGCUGCAUGUUCAGAUAAGGAUGCUACUGGGAAAUUUGCACUCAUGUUCCAAGAGUCACAGGCAGUCCUUGCUUUGCACAGUGGUACGAGACUACUGUGCAAAAACUUCAUAGGAUUUGGCUGGAAUGUAAAUGGAGUUCCAGAAGAUAUGUCUGUGGGAAUGUUUACACUGCUGCCAUUCAGGAAGUAGUUCUGGAUAUACAGCCAGAAGGUGCUGCUUCAGCAGCACAUACACUAAAAUUGGGUAUACAGCCAGAAGAAUUUAGUGAAGGUGAACAUAGUUAUAAAUGAGGAAAGCAGUUGUGUGUUGUGAAGGAUGAAUACAUUUGGAGAAAGUGAUUCAGGUGAAAAACCACAUUAAAGGAACUGUCAGAUGUUUCAUGACACUGUGCAAAGCAUUAAACAUUAGAAACAGAUCAAACUCAGAAAAGAGGAUGACAAUUUGCUAAGGCAUAGGAAAGAUGCUUGCUCCAUAUUGUAAGUUAUAUGAGAAAGCAAGCACUGUUCACACUACUCGAGACUUGUUUAUAAAGAAAUAAAACAUUCUAAUUUUCAAUGUUUCUAAUGUUUUGAAUAUUUUAUUUUUUAUAUUUCAACCAAAAUCAGUUUCUAAUGUUUGGACAAAUUUUAAGGUUAUAGAACAAAUCAGAUUGUGAUUUGAGCGGUUUCAGCUUUCAUAGUCCAAGUGAGAACUCCCUGCAUUUAAAACAAACUAGGAACUCUUUAUAUUUAACCAGAUAUAUCAAGUCUAGAAACAAAUACGCUUUUCCCUUAGAUUACCAGUUAUAUUAUGACAGUUUUCAUACUGUCUUUGUAUGCAUGCUACUAUAACAAGGCUUUGAAAUAAAAAUUUAUACAA